CCCUGAGUGGCUCAAACGGUUAAGCAUUUGACUACUAGUCAAAAGGUUGAUGGUUUGAGCCCACCCAGAGGUG
rnacentral:tRNA from 1 species